rnacentral:rRNA from 1 species
CCUACGGGGGGCUGCAGUAAGGAAUCUUCCGCAAUGCACGAAAGUGUGACGGAGCGACGCCGAGUGAAGGAUGAAGUUCUUCGGAAUGUAAACUUCUAAAAUCUGUUAGAAAGUUCUGAUCAGCAGACUAUAAGUGGCGACUAACUCUGUGCCAGCAGUCGCGGUAAUACAGAGGCCACGAGCGUUAGGCGGAAUCACUGGGCUUAAAGCGUGUGUAGGUGGAUCGGUAAGUACCUUGUAAAAUCCCACAGCUCAACUGUGGAACUGCUCGGUAUACUGCCAGUCUUGAGGCACUCAGGGGCGAGCGGAACAAGUGGUGGAGCGGUGAAAUGCGUAGAUAUCACUUGGAACGCCAAUGGUGAAGACAGCUCGCUGGGGGUGAACUGACACUGAGACACGAAAGCCAGGGGAGCGAACGGGCUUAGAUACCCCGGUAGUC